GUGUCAGCAGCCGCGGUAAGACGAAGGGGGCUAGCGUUGUUCGGAAUUACUGGGCGUAAAGCGCGUGUAGGCGGUUAUCCAAGUCGGGUGUGAAAGCCUUGAGCUCAACUCAAGAAAUGCACUCGGUACUGGGUGACUAGAGGACCGGAGAGGAUAGUGGAAUUCCCAGUGUAGUGGUGAAAUACGUAGAGAUUGGGAAGAACACCAGUGGCGAAGGCGGCUAUCUGGACGGUUUCUGACGCUAAGACGCGAAAGCGUGGGGAGCAAACAGGAUUAGAUACCCCCGUAGUCC
rnacentral:rRNA from 1 species